rnacentral:rRNA from 1 species
UACGUAGGGUGCAAGCGUUGUCCGGAAUUAUUGGGCGUAAAGAGCUUGUAGGCGGUUUGUCGCGUCUGCUGUGAAAUUUCGGGGCUCAACCCCGAACUUGCAGUGGGUACGGGCAGGCUAGAGUGUGGUAGGGGAGACUGGAAUUCCUGGUGUAGCGGUGAAAUGCGCAGAUAUCAGGAGGAACACCAAUGGCGAAGGCAGCUCGCUGGAACGGUACUGACGCUGAGGCGCGAAAGCGUGGGGAGCAAACAGG